UACGUAGGGAGCGAGCGUUGUCCGGAUUCACUGGGCGUAAAGGGUGCGUAGGCGGUCGGGUAAGUCUGAUGUGAAAUCUCACAGCUUAACUGUGAAACUGCAUUGGAUACUAUCCGGCUCGAGGAAUGGAGGGGAGACUGGAAUACUUGGUGUAGCAGUGAAAUGCGUAGAUAUCAAGUGGAACACCAGUGGCGAAGGCGAGUCUCUGGACAUUUCCUGACGCUGGGGCACGAAAGCCAGGGGAGCAAACGGG
rnacentral:rRNA from 1 species